GCUGGAAUUCCAAACGGAGGUGUUUUUCUCCUUAAAAGGAGAAUUGAUCAAUGACCUCGAGAUUUCCAGGAACCUAGCAUUUGUUGCUGACCUCUAUGUUAAUGAUUGUUUUCUGAAUGAUGACAGAACCGAUUCUUGCGUAGUCGGAGUCUCUAAGUUCUUACGACCAUCUGUGGCAGGAUUCCUUGUAUAAAAGGUUCAUGUGUUCCAGAUUUUGGGAACAACUUCACCAAGGUGCUUCAAAUAAUGGAGACAACUUUUUCUAGUUUCUUCCACCUUUGGAGACAACUUGAGCAAGUUGCUACCACCUUUGAAGACAACUUGUGGGAUAUUCUAGUUGCAUUUGGAGUUGUUCCUGGUGAAUAUGGUGAUAUUUGGCGUUGGUUUCUGAAUAAUUUGAAGACAAUCCUCAAUGUUUGAUCGUCCAUUGACCAUCAUACCGUAGGAAG